rnacentral:rRNA from 1 species
CACGGAGGGAGCGAGCAUUAUUCAUAUUGAUUGAGCGUGAAGAGUUUGUAGGUUGUUUUUUAUAGUUGAAAUAAAAAGCCAAAAGCUUAACUUUUGUAAUUUUUUCAAAACAAUUAAACUAGAGUUUAGAUAGAGGGUAAUGGAACUUCAGGUGUAGCGGUGAAAUGCGUAGAUAUCUGAAGGAACAUCAGUGGCGAAAGCGACUUCCUGGACCAAUACUGACGCUCAUGUGCGAAAGCGUGGGGAGCAAACAGG